GCUCCUAUAGCUCAGCUGGAAGAGCGCAAGACUGAAGCGAAAUUGCCUUCAUUAGGAUUCAACAGUCCUUCUUGAGGUCACCUGUUCGAACCAGGUUGGGAGCA
rnacentral:tRNA from 1 species